rnacentral:rRNA from 1 species
ACGGGGGGAGCAAGCGUUGUUCGGAUUUACUGGGCGUAAAGGGCGCGUAGGCGGCCACUGCAAGUCGGUUGUGAAAUCUCCGGGCUUAACUCGGAAAGGUCAAUCGAUACUGCAGGGCUAGAGUGCGGAAGGGGCAACUGGAAUUCUCGGUGUAGCGGUGAAAUGCGUAGAUAUCGAGAGGAACACCGGUGGCGAAGGCGGCCCCCUGGUUGGAUACUGACGCUGAUACGCGAAAGCGUGGGGAGCAAACAGGA